rnacentral:rRNA from 1 species
UCGGAGAGUUUGAUCCUGGCUCAGGACGAACGCUGGCGGCGUGCCUAAUACAUGCAAGUCGAGCGGACAGAAGGGAGCUUGCUCCCGGAUGUUAGCGGCGGACGGGUGAGUAACACGUGGGUAACCUGCCUGUAAGACUGGGAUAACUCCGGGAAACCGGAGCUAAUACCGGAUAGUUCCUUGAACCGCAUGGUUCAAGGAUGAAAGACGGUUUCGGCUGUCACUUAC